GAAAAAAGUGUAAUUAAAUAAAUUUCCUUAUAAAUUUUAUAAUAUUUUAAUUGUGUUACUUUUAGGACAAAAAAGAUAAAUUCAACAAUGUGAAUAAUCAAACAACUAGAGUGUAAAGUUGUGAGUGAGUGAAUUUGAUUACAAAAUGUCACGCAUAUACAGAAGACACUAAAAUUAUAUGGAUGCGCUUGAUUUAUUUGAAUAAAUGCUUGACUUAAAGUUUGAUGAAUGAAUGAUUUUUAGCAAAAAAGAAACAAAAAGGCUAAAAACAAAAUGAUUGUAAAUUAUGGUUUAUGUUAAACACAAACAUUAUUUUAUUUUGGUUAGCUUCAUCAUCAGCAACAACAAUUGGCUACACACAAUCUCAAGCAUCUUUAUGUAUUUUUUGUGG